CCUUCGGGACGAGAGAGACAGGUGGUGCAUGGUUGUCGUCAGCUCGUGUCGUGAGAUGUUGGGUUAAGUCCCGCAACGAGCGCAACCCUAUUGCCAGUUGCCAGCAUGAAAGAUGGCACUCUGGCGAGACUGCCGUUGACAAAACGGAGGAAGGUGGGGACGACGUCAAAUCAUCAUGCCCCUUAUGUCCUGGGCUACACACGUACUACAAUGGCAACAACAGAGGGCAGCCAGGCCGCGAGGCCGAGCGAAUCCCAAAAUGUUGUCUCAGUUCAGAUUGCAGGCUGAAACUCGCCUGCAUGAAGUCGGAAUUGCUAGUAAUGGCAGGUCAGCAUACUGCCGUGAAUACGUUCCCGGGCCUU
rnacentral:rRNA from 1 species